rnacentral:rRNA from 1 species
UUCUGGCUCAGGAUGAACGCUAGCUACAGGCUUAACACAUGCAAGUCGAGGGGCAUCAGAUCGAAAGCUUGCUUUGAUGCUGGCGACCGGCGCACGGGUGAGUAACGCGUAUCCAACCUUCCCUAUAGUAGAGAAUAGCCCGGCGAAAGUCGGAUUAAUGCUCUAUGUUGUAUUUAGAGGACAUCUGAAGAAUACCAAAGGUUUACCGCUAUAGGAUGGGGAUGCGUCUGAUUAGGUAGUAGGCGGGGUAACGGCCCACCUAGCCGACGAUCAGUAGGGGUUCUGAGAGGAAGGUCCCCCACAUUGGAACUGAGACACGGUCCAAACUCCUACGGGAGGCAGCAGUGAGGAAUAUUGGUCAAUGGACGGAAGUCUGAACCAGCCAAGUAAGCGUGCAGGAUGACGGCCCUAUGGGUUGUAAACUGCUUUUAUAUAGGGAUAAAGUCGGGGACGUGUCCCCGUUUGUAGGUACUAUAUGAAUAAGGACCGGCUAAUUCCGUGCCAGCCGCUGC